CGCAGAGGCGAACGAGCUAAGAAACUCAGUUGAAAACAGUUAAAGCGCGGUGCCAGUCACUUUUUAUAGAGAGGGCCCCUGGCAGAGGCACUACCUUCUCACUUACUUACUCACUUGCUUACCUGUCGUGUUGGCCACGUUUGUGGCGAUCCGAUCAGUGCACCGUCAGCCAGCGACGCGCACACACCGAACCACUCUGGAAAACAGCACCAUUAUCAACAGAAGUGUUAGAUAAACUGAUAAUACUACGGAGCCAACAAAAGCACUAACGUGGCGUUAACUCUAUUAACCUAAACUCACACACAUAAACCAACGGCAAAAAAGCUGGCGAAAAACAGUAAAGACAAUAACCCAAGUAAAACAAAAACGAGUCAGCGGCAAAGUGUCAAUAAAACUCUCGAAUUCAUUAACACAACUCAAAACGUUCUAUUAGUAAGCACUUGCAAAUUUCAACCAAACAAAAAAAGCUGAAAAGCUAAAGUUGAACGGACAGAGACGGAAUGAGAGAUAAAAGGAGAGGGGACUAGACACAAAUUAGCGUGGCCAACAGUCAAAAGGUCUAAUAGAAGCGCGUGUAUGCGAGUAGAUAUGCCCGUAUGCACCAUAUAGGCCAUAUACACCGAGACCCCAAAGCCAUGAUCGUAAAACUACAUCAACAAAUGUUCGACAAAAACCUCUGAAAAAACGCCACAAAAACCAGACGAGGCUGCCGCCAUGUCCUUGGCCUGUAAAAGGGCAGUGAAAUUCCUGGCACUCCAUAACAACAUCAUCAAAGGCCAGAGCGCGUUCGCCCGGUUCCCAGGAGUCCUUUCAGCGGAACCGCGAUGAAGUACAGAAUUACAGAAAUUCAGAGCCCCCCGCCGGAGUCAAAGUGCCGGCCUUUGCUGUAAGACAAAUGCCAUGGACUCGGUUACAAUUUGGACUCGUCUUGUCAAUCAAUUGGGAUCGAGUUGGGGCCUAGAACUGGAAAUGGCCAAGGAUGACCGGCGAGCGCUUCCUGUUUGGGUAAGUUGGUAAGUCAAUACUCGGACUGGCUUGGUACUUAAUUAGCCACACGACAGAAAACCGAAAGCGCACGACCCCGACCCGUGGUGACCUCAAAGCUGACGGAGGCGACUAAUUUAUCAAACUGGAAAGAAAAACUGAAAUAACUCUGCGCAUAAUUAAAUCAAGCCGAGAAAAAGAAAAAAGCCAAGCAGAAAGAUACCCAAAUGCGUUUUUAAGCCGUUGCGCAACGCCUCUUUCUAACAGUUUUCGAGUCUUUUUCAGAUUGCCUUUUCAAACUAUUGUUUGAAUUUUUCCUUUGGUUAAUUGCCGCUUAUUAAUCUCGGCUCGGUUAAUGGUCUCACAAACGAAAUUCUAAUUAAUGAAAUAUUUUUCGGCCUUUUGCUUGCAUUGUCUGGCCAUUCCACCUCCCCGAAACCAUAAUCAAUCAUAGCCCUAGACCUAAGAUCCCACAGAUGAUGGAGUUUUGGGGGAAUGUGAGCUUGAGUGUGUUGACAAAUUUGUGAGUUGCCGGCAGAUUGACAGGAAAAUUGAGUAAUCAAUCAUGGGCUAUCAAACGAAGCCGCCACCAAGCGACCUUCGAAAGGUCUGUUUAGUUAGUCAGACCGCCGAAAUCCAGUCUUAUCAACCGGUGAUGCACGUCUAGGCCAUUAUUUAAAUGCUAGUGUCGGUUCACGAAAUCACGUUAGUCGAGAAUGUUGACAAAAUCUCAAAAUCAGCGGCUUGAACAAGUUGAUUCAGGUUUGCCUUUAUUUUUAGUCGCCGUAUCUCGCAUGCGAUUGAAAUGAAAUAUAAAAUUACAUUAAAUUACCGGAUGUAAUUGCGGUGGUCGUGCCAGUCGCCUCUCUCUCAGCCUGGUCAAUGAAUCACGGCCCGGCGCACACGAAAUGCGUCGAAACAAAAGACUCAGGCAACGAACUCGACUCGAGCACCGAGCACUUAUGUCCAAAUCAGGGAGAACAGCAACCCACUCAGAGGAGUAACCAAAAAACGAAAAAUAAAUAAGAAAGAAAUACCCACACAAAACCCAGCUGAGUGGUAUCUUAUCAGGGCUAACGAUUUUGUCAAAUGACAAUUUUCUCGGCCUCAUUGAAUGCCUCUUUUUCACGCCAUUCAUUGACUUUUGUAUGGUCCAUUUAGUUGUCAAUUAUUUUUGAUAGCCCCGGCUCAGGCGGCUGAUAAGAACCUGUGACUAGCACAAGACUUGUUUAACAAACCCGGGAAAAAGAAGAAGAGGAACAGAGGAUCCAAUCGGAUCUUGGCUGUGGAUUCGGCUACUGCCUCUCUCCGUUUUGGCCACAUUUGCAUAUUGAACGGCAGUUUGUCUUGAGCCUGAGCUUUUAGUUAUGGCCAAGCAUUAAAUUUAACUAUUAAGCCAUUUUCGGAGGCCAGUUUUGUGGAGCUCGACUUUCCAAACAUUGUCCCCUGACAGUUGUUCCCUAUGGCAGUUUUUUUGGCCGGAAUUUAUGAGCCAAACAGACACAGAAAGAUAGACAGAAUGAUUAACAAGAAAUGGAGAGGCAUGGGAACUUUGGAUUGGCACACAAAAAUGGUGAAGUGAAAUGUUUAAAGUUUUAUUGCCUCAAACAUAAGUAAAAGGAAAAUAAAUGUGAAUGAAGGAUUUAUUUGUUAAAUCAAUGGGAAAAUGCUGGCACAUCGAAUGGAAGGUCUAACUGGGCAGCUACAGCCAAAUACAAUUGCAAGACCCAACUUAAUUUUAUCAUAAAAAUGCGAAUUACACCCAGAUGAAAUUCAUUUCUUGCAACUCAAUCAAGAGGCAUGCAACGGAGGCUGCUGACCUAUAUAUGGUUAAUAAGAACCAACUUACAUGCCUGCAUAUAUAUGUAGGAAUGCCUGUAGCAAGACCAUACAGAUAUCCUCGUUACGUAUUCCCCAUAUUGAUAUCUCUCCACCUCCGUUGCAUUUGGGUUCGUGCAACAAUUUUCGUCGAAAACAAUUUUCAGAGCACGAGAGGAGGGGGAAAGAUCAGCGCAGAAAAUGAGAAAUUUUUGCAGUGCAUAUAUGCCACGCACGUAGAAACCAAACCAAACCAAACCAAACGAAACAGUAACAAUCAGACAAUCAUGCACAUAAUCAUGCCAUCAAUAUAUGGCAAUUAUCAAUGAAAUUUAUAACAAUCCACGAAAUGUAACGAAAACUUAACCGACCAAUAAAAAUUUCAUCUUUCAAAAAGGAGCCCAGGCUCCGCCGCCUGCGACUGCAGUUCGUCAUCCUCGUUCUGCAAGCGAAGAAAAAAGCCUGAAACAUGAUCAUGAUCGAGCUGAUGUUGCUGUUUUAGCCCCGUUCGCUUCGCCUUGUGAUCUGCAUCAUAAAAACGUGCCAGAUUGAUGCGUGAUUGAAAUGCCAAUUGGUUUCCAGUUGGACUCGGUCGCUCGGUCUUUCGGUUGGUUCGUCUCUUUCUGGUUGGAGUGUGCGUGCUGUUCCCGUUACCCUCCCAAUCUGCAUUGUCAUCUUGGACAAUUAGAACAAGCCGAGAUCUCAAAGAUACAUUUAUUUCGAGUGUGCUUUUUUUCACAGAUCCAUACCUUUAUAAGAAAAGAAAAGUGGGAGGAAAGAGUCUG